rnacentral:rRNA from 1 species
AUUGAACGCUGGCGGCAUGCCUUACACAUGCAAGUCGAACGGCAGCACGGGAGCAAUCCUGGUGGCGAGUGGCGAACGGGUGAGUAAAGUAUCGGAACGUGCCCAGUCGUGGGGGAUAACGUAGCGAAAGUUACGCUAAUACCGCAUACGAUCUAUGGAUGAAAGCGGGGGAUCGCAAGACCUCGCGCGAUUGGAGCGGCCGAUAUCAGAUUAGGUAGUUGGUGGGGUAAAGGCUCACCAAGCCGACGAUCUGUAGCUGGUCUGAGAGGACGACCAGCCACACUGGGACUGAGACACGGCCCAGACUCCUACGGGAGGCAGCAGUGGGGAAUUUUGGACAAUGGGCGAAAGCCUGAUCCAGCAAUGCCGCGUGCAGGAUGAAGGCCUUCGGGUUGUAAACUGCUUUUGUACGGAACGAAACGGCUCUUUCUAAUAAAGAGGGCUAAUGACGGUACCGUAAGAAUAAGCACCGGCUAACUACGUGCCAGCAGCCGCGGUAA